rnacentral:rRNA from 1 species
AGGGUUCGAUUCUGGCUCAGAACGUACGCUGGCGGCACGCCUAACACAUGCAAGUCGAACGAAGUAGCAAUACUUAGUGGCAGACGGGUGAGUAACAUGUAGGUAUCUACCCUUUGGCCUGGAAUAACACGAGGAAACUUGUGCUAAUACCGGAUAAGUCUUUACGGAGAAAGCUUUAUGCACCAUUGGAUGAGCCUGCACUUGAUUAGUUUGUUGGUGGGGUAAUGGCCUACCAAGACUUUGAUCAAUAGCUGAUUUGAGAGGAUGAUCAGCCACAUUGGGACUGAGACACGGCCCAAACUCCUACGGGAGGCAGCAGUGGGGAAUCUUGCACAAUGGAGGAAACUCUGAUGCAGCGAUGCCGCGUGAGUGAAGAAGGCCCUUGGGUUGUAAAGCUCUUUCGUCGGGGAAGAAAAUGACUGUACCCGAAUAAGAAGGUCCGGCUAACUUCGUGCCAGCAGCCGCGGUAAUAC